rnacentral:rRNA from 1 species
GACGAACGCUGGCGGCGUGCUUAACACAUGCAAGUCGAACGGAAAGGCCCUGCUUUUGUGGGGUGCUCGAGUGGCGAACGGGUGAGUAACACGUGAGUAACCUGCCCUUGACUUUGGGAUAACUUCAGGAAACUGGGGCUAAUACCGGAUAGGAGCUCCUGCUGCAUGGUGGGGGUUGGAAAGUUUCGGCGUUUGGGGAUGGACUCGCGGCUUAUCAGCUUGUUGGUGGGGUAGUGGCUUACCAAGGCUUUGACGGGUAGCCGGCCUAAGAGGGUGACCGGCCACAUUGGGACUGAGAUACGGCCCAGACUCCUACGGGAGGCAGCAGUGGGGAAUAUUGCACAAUGGGCGGAAGCCUGAUGCAGCAACGCCGCGUGCGGGAUGACGGCCUUCGGGUUGUAAACCGCUUUCGCCUGUGACGAAGCGUGAGUGACGGUAAUGGGUAAAGAAGCACCGGCUAACUACGUG